CUCCCUCUCUCAGCAAUGGAUGACGUAUGCUGAAUUUAUGCCACUGGCUCUCAGAUCAUCUCUGCAAAGCACAAUCUACGGCCUUUCACUGGCCGCUCUGACCCGUGUCACACGCGUUGCCUGACUGAGAAGGGCACUGAGACUGGACUCGCGCAGAGCUGAAGCGCUCCGUGCCCUCUUUGACUUUCCCCAGUCCUGUCUCCUCGGGUGGGAGCGGAGUCAUCGGGAGCGAGAGUGCACAGAGUUCUCGCGACGCUCACGCUGCAGCCCUGAUGGUAGAAGCAUGAAAACCGUGUUCUUCAGGCUUCGAGCAUACACUGUGUGCUGGCUGCCUGCCCGUCCCUCACCCCUCAGGCCAUGUUGGUCAAGGGACUUGAUGGUGUUACCCUCUGCUUUUAUCCCUGCGUCCUCACUGAACAUUUUUGUUGAUGGGUGAGAGGUGGAGGCUGGAGGGUGAGGAGUUCAAGUUCUUCCUUGGCUACAGCCAGACCUGGUUGUGCACGCUUGUAACCUCAACUACUCAGAAGCUGGGGCAGGAGGAUCCCAAGUUCCAGAUCUUCCUGGAUUACUUAGUGAGUUCAAGGACAGCCCGAACAACUUCCUGGAAUUCAGAGUCAAAAUAAAAAAGUGAAAGGAAGAGAAAGGCUAUAGCUCCGUGGUAGCACACUCACACCUAUGCAUGAGUUCCCUGUUACCAGAACACAGUGAAACACAAGCGCUGGGGCUGGAGGGAUGGCUCGAUGGCUCAGGGCAAUGGCAGCUCUUCCGGAGGACCUUCCUCAGAUUCCCAGCACCUGUGAAGCAGCUCACACCUCUCGGUAACUCCAGUUCCAGGGGAUCUGACACCUUCUUCUGGCCUUUGUGGAUACCAGGCUCUGAUUGGAGGCUCUUUCCCAGAUGCAGAUGUUUAAGUCUGAGGACUCUAAAGAGGAAUAAAUGCCGGAGCUAAAAGAGAAAGAGGGGCUCUGAGGAAGCAGAAGAACGCUGGUGAUGCCUCCUGCUGCUCCUGGUUGGUGAAGAUAUCCUGAAACAAAGAUUGGACUUGCCCCAAGGAACCCAACGACCCUAACCAGCAAGAAGUAACCAAAGAGAACUACUUCCCCUUUCCCUUCUGACCUUUCUCUCCUCCCUGGCGUUGGGUGUUGGAAGGGACUAAGUGGAGAAGGGAAGAAGAUGAAACCUAAGUAAAAUAGUUUUAAAAAGAGUGCAUCAAGUAAGCACGUGGUGCACAGACAUAUAAGCAGGAAAAAUACCCUUACACCUAAAAGAAAAUUACAAAAUAGAUCAAUGACAAAACAUGGACCCUGUUUCCCUUCUCAGAUUAUUGGCUUCCUUUGGGAGGAUUUUGCAUCCUUACAGUGGUUCAAUCAUUCGGACUCUAACGGAGAACUGGGGGCUUCAGCAGGUGGGAGAGUACUUCCCUACUGCCUCAGAUUUUUAUUUUGAAUUAUAAAGUAUGCCCCACCAGCCAACGGCAUUUAUAAAGGUUAUUCAUGUAGAUUAUUGUUGUAAGUUUUAGGUAUUUUAUUGCUCAUCUGCCUCUUGACUGUUGGAUUUUUUUUUUUUUUAUUACUUCCUAGAAAGUUUGAAAAUCAGUGUGAUUGAGUGACAGAAUGGUCAAUAAAAUGAAGAUCCUCCUAUGUGGCCAAAAGUACAAGAGGGGUGUGUCAGGACUAAAGAAUCCGUUUCCCACCUAACACUGGCAGAAGGACAAAUGACGGUUGGCGGUGGCUAUCGGCAUACCAAAGCGCACGCUGGCCUCCAGGAUCCCUGAGUAUCACCAAUACCCAUUACACAUUUCAGCGUCCAUGCUGACAUCUCCCCCCGCCCCCCGCCACACACACCUCCCCGAGUCAUCCCCACAUUCUCAUUCUUUUUGUAGCCUUGCUACUUCAGCUCUGCGCUCUCCUGGCUCCUCUCUCUCUCUCCCCUCUCAUGGCCAGGUCCAGCCUGCUGGCUGUGUUCAGUCCACUGCUUUAUCUCUUUUCUCUGGCCUCUUCCAGAUGGCUCUGCCUGUACUCCCCCUCAUAUGGACAAUAAAAACUUUCCCCUCAACCAUA